rnacentral:rRNA from 1 species
GCGGCGGACGGGUGAGUAACACGUAGGCAACCUGCCCUCAAGUUUGGGACAACUACCGGAAACGGUAGCUAAUACCGAAUAGUUGUUUUCUUCGCCUGAAGGGAACUGGAAAGACGGAGCAAUCUGUCACUUGGGGAUGGGCCUGCGGCGCAUUAGCUAGUUGGUGGGGUAACGGCUCACCAAGGCGACGAUGCGUAGCCGACCUGAGAGGGUGAUCGGCCACACUGGGACUGAGACACGGCCCAGACUCCUACGGGAGGCAGCAGUAGGGAAUCUUCCGCAAUGGGCGAAAGCCUGACGGAGCAAUGCCGCGUGAGUGAUGAAGGUUUUCGGAUCGUAAAGCUCUGUUGCCAGGGAAGAACGCUUGGGAGAGUAACUGCUCUCAAGGUGACGGUACCUGAGAAGAAAGCCCCGGCUAACUACGUGCCAGCAGCCGCGGUAAUACGUAGGGGGCAAGCGUUGUCCGGAAUUAUUGGGCGUAAAGCGCGCGCAGGCGGUCAUUUAAGUCUGGUGUUUAAUCCCGGGGCUCAACCCCGGAUCGCACUGGAAACUGGGUGACUUGAGUGCAGAAGAGGAGAGUGGAAUUCCACGUGUAGCGGUGAAAUGCGUAGAUAUGUGGAGGAACACCAGUGGCGAAGGCGACUCUCUGGGCUGUAACUGACGCUGAGGCGCGAAAGCGUGGGGAGCAAACA